rnacentral:misc_RNA from 1 species
UGGAGCGUUAAAAGGCAGUGUGAGAGAGAGAGAGAGAGAGAUUUCGAAGGACCGAGAAAACGCGUACUGCGGUCGAGGGCUCACGAAUUUCUCGCUCCGAACGAUGCCACUAAAUAUAGAUGGAGCGACGUAUCGCGCCGCUCGCAGGAGCACGUGUAUCAAGAAAAACAAAUACAGCGGUCACCCUCGUUGCGUACACGGACAGAGAUAAUGCCAAGCGUUGAACUGUGAACAGUGUUUUUACUAUCGACCAAUGUUUUCGCUCGACUAUCGUCGCCGGUGACUCUUGUCCUUCGGCGCCCGGUUCGUGGAAUCUCUGACAUACAACCG